rnacentral:ncRNA from 1 species
CCCUUGGAGUAUCACACCAACUCAAGUACUUUGUAAAAAGGAAAGAGGAUACGUUGAAUGGGGAA